UCUCUAUUUUUUGUCCUAAAGGAAAAUAGAUUGAGGUUGGUCCUAGGUUUAGGGCCAGUAUACACAGGUGCGGUGGUACAUCGACUCAGGGCUCAGUAGCGCGUUCGCCGGAUGCCCAUCUUCUUCUUCUUAUUGGUAUCUCCGCCGCUGGAAUGUUCUGGAGUUUGCGGAAGAUUUGAUGAUAUAGGUCACCAUUUUUGUGCGGGAUAAAAGAAUGGUAAAGUGUAGGAAUACCAAAAUAAAUGUGAAACUACCAGGAAUAAUGAAGAAUUGCAUGUCAGUGGAGAUGGACCUGGGCUACUUAGUUUGAGGAGAGAGCACUUUUCCACCAAGGCAACUCCUCUUCUAGCUGGACUUGCCGUAGCUGCAGCUGCUCUUGCUGGUCGAUAUGGAGUCCAAGCAUGGCAUGCAUACAAGUCACAACCCAUAGUUCCAAGGAUGCGCAAAUUUUAUGAAGGUGGUUUCCAAGC